rnacentral:misc_RNA from 1 species
AAGUCGUAACAAGGUUUCCGUAGGUGAACCUGCGGAAGGAUCAUUAACACGUUAUCCACGUAUCAACCAAUCGAGAACUUGUUUUCACGUCUCCCUUUGCAAUUUGAAUGAAUUGGCUAACCAGUUUGAGGGAAUUGAUGUGGAUUGCAUUCAUUUGCAAUCGGCCUUCCUGGUAUACUUAUGAGCUAUUGAAAAAUAGUUUGUUAACAAUUGUAUCUUAUUGCUGAAAGGCCAAAUUUCUUUCGAUAUUUUGAUCUCCAUCAUGAUCAAUAAAGUAUUGAAGGAGAAACCUUAUAAAACUAUUUUCACCACCUUUUUGCUAGUUGACUUUUUAUAUGUGAUUGUUUUGCUUAAUUGCAAUGUAGUCGCACGUUUAAUUACUUGAACGUUAAAAAAUACAACUCUUAGCAAUGGAUAUCUUGGUUCUC